rnacentral:lncRNA from 1 species
UGGGUCCAAUCUCUGUAGGCGUCCGCAAAGUCCAAGCUUGAGGCGUCGCCGGUUUGUUCUCCGCCGUCUACGCUACAAUGCUCCCUAAAGACGCUCUAUUCCACUACCCGCAUGUCGAAGCGGGAAGGGAGCACUAGCCUGCGGCUCUAACGACACCGUUUUCCUCUCUUCUAAAAACGGUGAGUUUUUCUUUCUUCUUUUUUUUAAACUUAAUAUAAACGCUGAGUGGAGCCCACCCAAAGUUAUCUUUAUAAGUGCGAAACACAGAACUCGGGAGAAUUCAAGAAAGUUGGGCGCACAUUCCUUCAUCGAGCUCAUCAAUGGCGACGGAUCAAAUGCAAUUCGGAAAUGGACACUCAGUGGUAAUUCAAUUGACCGAAGAGGAAAAACGUGUUGGCAACCACUGCGUCUUCGAGCUCUCAAUCCUCGAAGCCGUCAGCAGAUACUCUGAGAGUUUCUUGCCCGCAACCGGGUCCUCUGGCUAAGCCGCCGAUACAGAAUAGAAAGAGUCCUAUUCAAUUUCAUUUGCCAAGAAUGUCCAAAAAGAGACGAAUCCAUCAAAACCAACCUCAUUAUCCAUCUCCAACUCAAAACCGACGCC